rnacentral:rRNA from 1 species
AAUAUUUCACAAGGGGCGAAAGCCUGAUGCAGCGACGCCGCGUGGGGGAUGAAGGCCUUCGGGUUGUAUACCCCUCUCAGCAGGGAAGAAGCGAGAGAGAGGGUACUUGCAGAAGAAUCGCCGGCUAACUACGUGCCAGCAGCCGCGGUAAUACGUAGGGCGCAAGCGUUGUCCGGAAUUAUUGGGCGUAAAGAGCUCGUAGGCGGUCAGUCGCGUCAGCUGUGAAAACCCGAGGCUCAACCUCGGGCCUGCAGUGGGUACGGGCUGACUAGAGUGCGGUAGGGGAGGCUGGAAUUCCUGGUGUAGCGGUGGAAUGCGCAGAUAUCAGGAGGAACACCGAUGGCGAAGGCAGGUCUCUGGACCGCAACUGACGCUGAGGAGCGAAAGCAUGGGGAGCGAAC